rnacentral:lncRNA from 1 species
GUGUUGUUGAAACUGUGAUUAGAAUAUUGUAGAAUAUGACUUUAGACUGACCAUUUUGGAGAAAAUUUGUAACAUUGAGAAUUGAGAUUAUCGAAUUAUGUUGUGUUAAGUAAAGAUAUUGAAUUCUGUGUGAUGAAUUGAAAAAUUGAAUAUAAUAAGUAAGUUGGAAAUCAGUAAUUGAAUAUAUAUAAAUUACAAAGAGAGUAAGUGGGAGAUGAAUUGAUAAGAAUAUGGAAGUAUUGUUGAAUUGAUAGUCAUAGAAUGGAUUAUGUAUUGAAUUAAGAUGGAAGUAGUAAUUCUUGGUGUUUAGUUGUUUGAUAAUUGAUUUUAGAUAGCUAGAGUAUGGUCAAUUGUGAUACUAAUAGACCUAAUUUAUAU